UACGGAGGGGGCUAGCGUUGAUCGGAAUUACUGGGCGUAAAGCGCACGUAGGCGGAUUUGUAAGUUAGGUGUGAAAUCCCGGGGCUCAACCUCGGAACUGCCUUUAAUACUGCAAAUCUCGAGUCCGGAAGAGGUGAGCGGAAUUCCUAGUGUAGAGGUGAAAUUCGUAGAUAUUAGGAGGAACACCAGUGGCGAAGGCGGCUCACUGGUCCGGUACUGACGCUGAGGUGCGAAAGCGUGGGGAGCAAACAGG
rnacentral:rRNA from 1 species